GACGAACGCUGGCGGCGUGCCUAAUACAUGCAAGUCGAGCGGAAUGAUGAAGAAGCUUGCUUCUUCUGAUUUUAGCGGCGGACGGGUGAGUAACACGUGGGCAACCUACCUUGUAGAUUGGGAUAACUCCGGGAAACCGGGGCUAAUACCGAAUAAUCCAUUUUGCUUCAUGGCGAGAUGUUGAAAGACGGUUUCGGCUGUCACUACAAGACGGGCCCGCGGCGCAUUAGCUAGUUGGUAGGGUAAUGGCCUACCAAGGCGACGAUGCGUAGCCGACCUGAGAGGGUGAUCGGCCACACUGGGACUGAGACACGGCCCAGACUCCUACGGGAGGCAGCAGUAGGGAAUCUUCCACAAUGGACGAAAGUCUGAUGGAGCAACGCCGCGUGAGUGAAGAAGGUUUUCGGAUCGUAAAACUCUGUUGUAAGGGAAGAACACGUACGAGAGUAACUGCUCGUACCUUGACGGUACCUUAUUAGAAAGCCACGGCUAACUACGUG
rnacentral:rRNA from 1 species